AUACGUAGGGUGCAAGCGUUAUCCGGAAUUAUUGGGCGUAAAGAGCGCGUAGGCGGUUUGAUAAGUUAUCCGUUAAAUCUUCAGGCUCAACCUGAUUCUCGCGGGUAAUACUGUCAGACUAGAGGAUAGCAGGGGCAAGCGGAAUUCCCGGUGUAGGAGUGAAAUCCGUUGAUAUCGGGAGGAACACCAAUGGCGAAGGCAGCUUGCUAGGUUAUCUCUGACGCUGAGGCGCGAAAGCGUGGGGAGCGAACGGGAUUAGAUACCCCGGUAGUCCACGCCGUAAACGAUGCAGACUAGCUAUCAGAAGUAUCGACCCUUCUUGUAGCGAAGCUAACGCGUUAAGUCUGCCGCCUGGGAAGUACGGUCGCAAGACUAAA
rnacentral:rRNA from 1 species